rnacentral:misc_RNA from 1 species
GAUGAAGAACGCAGCGAAAUGCGAUAAGUAAUGUGAAUUGCAGAAUCCCGUGAACCAUCGAGUCUUUGAACGCAAGUUGCGCCCGAAGCCAUUAGGCCGAGGGCACGCCCGCCUGGGUGUCACACACCGUUACCCUCGCGCCAACGUCCAUCGUUGGCCGCGGCGCGGGGCGUGCGCUGACCUCCCGCGAGCGGGGUCUCGUGGUUGGUUGAAAAUCGAGUUCGCGGUCGAGGGUGCCGUGAUGAAAUGGUGGAUGGGCGACGCCCGAGGCCAAUCACGCGCGACUCUGUCCGGCUCGGACUCCUGGACCCCUUCGGCGUCUCCGGACGCUCUUUGGCGAGACCUCAGGUCAGGCGGGGCUACCCGCUGAGUUUAAGCAUAUCAAUAAGCGGAGGA